rnacentral:rRNA from 1 species
UACGUAGGGUCCGAGCGUUGUCCGGAAUCAUUGGGCGUAAAGCGCGCGUAGGUGGCCACAUAAGUCCGUUGUGAAAGUCAAAGGCUCAACCUUUGAAAGCCGAUGGAUACUGUGUGGCUAGAGUACGGAAGAGGCGAGUGGAAUUCCUGGUGUAGCGGUGGAAUGCGCAGAUAUCAGGAGGAACACCGGUGGCGAAGGCGGGUCUCUGGGCAGUAACUGACGCUGAGGAGCGAAAGCGUGGGGAGCGAACAGG